rnacentral:tRNA from 1 species
UAUACUUUAGUAUAUGAUGUAUUUUAAUUUUUGAUAUUAACGGGAAUAGUUUAAUUCUAUUAAGUAUAA